rnacentral:rRNA from 1 species
UACGUAGGGGGCAAGCGUUGUCCGGAUUUAUUGGGCGUAAAGAGCUCGUAGGCGGCUGUCCACGUCGGAUGUGAAAGCUCAGGGCUCAACCCUGAGAGGCCAUUCGAUACGGGACGGCUAGAGGUAGGUAGGGGAAAGUGGAAUUCCUGGUGUAGCGGUGAAAUGCGCAGAUAUCAGGAGGAACACCGGUGGCGAAGGCGGCUUUCUGGGCCUUACCUGACGCUGAGGAGCGAAAGCUGGGGGAGCGAACAGG